rnacentral:rRNA from 1 species
GACGAACGCUGGCGGCGUGCUUAACACAUGCAAGUCGAACGGUGAACGAGGGAGCUUGCUCCCUCCGCAUCAGUGGCGAACGGGUGAGUAACACGUGAGCAAUCUGCCUCUAACUCUGGGAUAACCGUUGGAAACGACGUCUAAUACCGGAUACUACGCUGGAGCGCAUCCUCUCCUCGUGGAAAGCACUUCUGUUCGGGAUUAGCUCGCGGCCUAUCAGCUUGUUGGUGAGGUAACGGCUCACCAAGUCGCCGAGGGGUAGCCGGCCUGAGAGGGUGAACGGCCACACUGGGACUGAGAGACGGACCAGACUCCUACGGGAGGCAGCAGUGGGGAAUAUGGCACAAUGGGCGCAAGCCUGAUGCAGCAACGCCGCGUGAGGGACGACGGCCUUCGGGUUGUAAACCUCUUUGAGCAGGGAAGAAGCGAAAGUGACGGUACCUGAAGAAAAAGCACAGGCUAACUACGUG